rnacentral:rRNA from 1 species
GAUGAACGCUGGCGGCGUGCUUAACACAUGCAAGUCGAACGAAGCACUUUAUUACGAUUUCUUCGGAAUGACGAUUUGGUGACUGAGUGGCGGACGGGUGAGUAACGCGUGGGUAACCUGCCUUAUACUGGGGGAUAACAGCUGGAAACAGCUGCUAAUACCGCAUAUCUUUUUGAACCGCAUGGUUCUUAAACGAAAGACGGCUUCGGCUGUCGCUCUUAGAUGAUCCCGCGGCGUAUUAGUUAGUUGGUGGGGUAAAGGCCUACCAAGACCAUGAUACGUAGCCGACCUGAGAGGGUGAUCGGCCACACUGGGACUGAGACACGGCCCAGACUCCUACGGGAGGCAGCAGUAGGGAAUCUUCCACAAUGGGUGAAAACCUGAUGGAGCAAUGCCGCGUGAAUGAAGAAGGUCUUCGGAUCGUAAAGUUCUGUUAUUAGAGAAGAACAAGUCAAGGAGUAACUGUCUUGACUUUGACGGUACCUAACCAGAAAGUCACGGCUAACU